GAUGAGCGCUGGCGGCGUGCCUAAUACAUGCAAGUCGAGCGAACAGACGAGGAGUUUGCUCUCUCGACGUUUGCCGAGGACGGGAGUGUAACACGUGGAUCACCUACCUAUCAGACUGGGAUAACUUCGGAAAACCGGAGCUUAUCCCGGAUAACAUGUUGCACCGUAUGGAUUAACUGUGAAAGACGGCCUUGUUGUCUCUUAUAGAUGCAUCCGCGCUGUAUUAGCUAGUUAGUAAGGUCCAGGCUUACCACGGCAACGAUGCGUAGGCGACCUGAGAGGGUGAUCGGCCACACUAGAGCUGAGACACGGUCCAGACGACUGAGGGAGGCAGCAGUAGGGUAUCUGCCGCAGUGGGCGAAAGUCUUGCAGAGCAACGCAGCGUGUGAGGAAGAGGCCUUCGGUGCGUAAAGCUCUGUUAUGAGUUAAGAACAAAUUUGUGAGUAACAAAAGACAUCGUGACGGUACCUAAACAGAAAGCCACGGCUAACUACGUG
rnacentral:rRNA from 1 species